rnacentral:rRNA from 1 species
GACGAACGCUGGCGGCGUGCCUAAUACAUGCAAGUAGAACGCUGAAGAGAGGAGCUUGCUCUUCUUGGAUGAGUUGCGAACGGGUGAGUAACGCGUAGGUAACCUGCCUGGUAGCGGGGGAUAACUAUUGGAAACGAUAGCUAAUACCGCAUAAAAUGGAUUAUCGCAUGAUAAUCCAUUGAAAGGUGCAAAUGCAUCACUACCAGAUGGACCUGCGUUGUAUUAGCUAGUUGGUGGGGUAACGGCUCACCAAGGCGACGAUACAUAGCCGACCUGAGCGGGUGAACGGCGACACUGGGAGUGAGAGACGGCCCAGACUCCUACGGGAGGCAGCAGUAGGGAAUCUUCGGAGAUGGACGGAAGACUGAACGAGCAACGCCGCGUGAGUGAAGAAGGUUUUCGGAUCGUAAAGCUCUGUUGUAAGAGAAGAACGAGGGUGAGAGUGGAAAGUUCACACUGUGACGGUAUCUUAACAGAAAGGGACGGCUAACUACGUG